UACGAAGGGUGCAAGCGUUACUCGGAAUUACUGGGCGUAAAGCGUGCGUAGGCGGUUUGUUAAGUCCGUUGUGAAAGCCCUGGGCUCAACCUGGGAAUUGCAGUGGAUACUGGCGAGCUAGAGUGCGGUAGAGGAUGGUGGAAUUCCCGGUGUAGCGGUGAAAUGCGUAGAGAUCGGGAGGAACACCCGUGGCGAAGGCGGCCAUCUGGACCAGCACUGACGCUGAGGCACGAAGGUCAGGGGAGCAAACGGG
rnacentral:rRNA from 1 species